rnacentral:rRNA from 1 species
AUUGAACGCUGGCGGCAGGCCUAACACAUGCAAGUCGAGCGAGCGGCGGACGGGUGAGUAAUGUCUGGGAAACUGCCUGAUUUAGGGGGAUAACUACUGGAAACGGUAGCUAAUACCGCAUACCAUCUGAUGUGCCCCGAUGGGAUUAGCUAGUAGGUGGGGUAAUGGCUCACCUGGGCGACGUGACCUAGCUGGUCUGGGAGAAUGACCAGCAACACGGGAACUGGAACACGGUCCAGAGUCGAACGGGAGGAAGAGGUGGGGAAUAUUGCAAAAUGGGGGAAAGCCUGAUGCAGACAUGCCGGGUGUGUGACGAAGGCCUUCGGGUUGUAAGGCACUUUCAGCGGGGAGGCGUUACCCGCAGAAGAAGCAACGGCUAACUCCGUGCCAGCAGCCGCGGUAAUAC